UUAGAAUAGGGGAGCUUAACUU
rnacentral:miRNA from 5 species